ensembl:snRNA U4 U4 spliceosomal RNA
AGCUUUGCGCAGUGGCAGUAUCGUAGCCAAUGAGGUUUAUCCGAGGCGCGAUUAUUGCUAAUUGAAAACUUAAAAAGUGAACUAGCCACCAUUUCUUUCCGAUUUGGAACACAAAAUGAAUUCUUCUUAAAGACUGUGGUCA